rnacentral:rRNA from 1 species
CCUUUGUACACACCGCCCGUCGCUACUACCGAUUGAAUGGCUCAGUGAGGCCUUUGGACUGGCGCCAGGAGGCCGGCAACGGCCACCAGGAGCCGGAAAGUCGGUCAAACUCGGUCAUUUAGAGG